rnacentral:lncRNA from 1 species
AGUAAAUACCAAGAGGUGUCCAUUUUUCCAAAUACUCACCUCAAAAACCACGUUUCUUUUUUUCUGCUAAACUUGGUUUCAUUUUGUCUUCUCUAUGUGGUCAGUAAUAGUAAUAUAUAUAUUUUAAAAGUACCGCAAAGUUUCUCUUCAAAUAAACUUUGGUUCUUGAACCUUGUGUCUUGUAGAAAGCCCAAUCUCAAGGUUCUACGUUCUCCACGAUCAUGUUGACCGGUUUGCCAGAAGGAAACUACAGACAGGAGGAUGUCACCAAGCUGGUGUGGCGUUACUUCCCUGAUCAGACGGUUCAGACUCUGUACUACAACAUAAUCGUUUUAUCACUGCAGAGGAGGGUGAGGAGUAGACCCAGCAGGCUGAUACAGAGAAAUUUGCAUUUGCAAAUUUAAUUCAAUUUAAUGAUUAAUAUUGAAUGUUUCCUCUGCAUCAUUUUUCCCCUCCAGGCCUUUGUGUUUUUAACAGCUGGGAUGCGUGCUGCGAUUUCGCCAGAGAUUACCUCAAAAAUCCAGUUACUGUUGGAGAGUGGACGCUCAGAAUCCACAUUGUUUUACAAGACAUGCUUCCUGGUUCAAGUGAGGAGAGCAUGUAUAGAAGCAUGAUGAAAUGGAGCAACACUCAUGUUCCAGAGUCUGAGGCUCUGGAGGACCGGCUGCUGAGUGUGGAGGUCUCCGAGGUGAAUGUGGACCUUCUCAUGAUGAUCAUGGAAGCGGUGGCGUCCAUUGCUGCUUUUGUCAGAUUCUGCCGCUUGCCAACAGGAUAUGCAUUGAGAUGGCCGAACCUGGUGGAUUAACACAGGUGAUGGAGAGCAAUGUCACCAAGGACUAUUUAUCUUCUUGGAGUAAAGCUGGACGUAUUGAGUC